UUUCCAGUGAUGAAAUCAAUUUUCAAAUUACACCAUCAUUCGGGACUGAUAUUUCCCCUGAUGAUAUUCUGCAAUUCUGAGGCUA